rnacentral:misc_RNA from 1 species
ACAACAUAUAGUCAACUGAUAUUUCAAAAACACUGAAAGCGAAUUCAAUAAUGUAGAUCCCAGUGGGAAGUAAGUCAAACAAAAUUGCUCAUUGAAACUAAAAGAACUUGAUAAAAAUCCAACAAAAACACAAGAAAUUCAACUAUUACACGACCUAGAUCAGUAGGCACUAAAAGAACGACUCUUUUUUUAUUUAAGGAAGACACAAACUACUUGGAUCUCUGCCUCAUCUUUCGGCGCUUCCUCUUCAAUCUCCUCAUUCUCUUCUUCUUCCACUUAGCCCUCAUGUUGAAGACCUGCUAACCGAUC